AGGUUUACCACUUACUCUGAAUUGACUUACCCAGGCUUGUCACUAAACCACAUAUUUGGAAUACCCCCCAUUAGUAUAGAGUACUAGCACACAGGGACCAGCAUUAAGGUAAAGUAGCUGUUGGUGAAGCAAUGUGUCAUUGUUGUUGUGGUUGUCGUUAGUACACAUUCAGACAAGUCAUUAUUGUGAUGUCUUAAGUGUGAGUGUGAAGGUGUAAAGCUAAAUGCAUAGCAAUUGAUCCCUCUAUAGGUUGUGGAAUGUUCCAACAGGAUGCUUCCAGAACAGACCUGCCGGGGAACCAGGAAGUGCUACAGAGGGAGACGGAAGGACGGAGGCUGAGAUCCAGGAUUAGACAUCACCGCCAGGCCAAAUCCAGAGGAACCAGCCCACGACACUACAGGACGACCUCGGAGUGAGCAAGAGCUAGUCUGGGCUGAGGUCCAGGACACAUAGGAACACAGGCAGACAUGUGGAGAGUUGUUACAAGACGACCAUCACUAGAAUCUCAGGCCAGAGUGGAACAUCUACAAGACCAGUUUUUUAGAUCUCCAAUCUUAAAUGAAACAAAUAAACUGCAGUAAGAUA